rnacentral:rRNA from 1 species
GACGAACGCUGGCGGCGUGCUUAACACAUGCAAGUCGAACGGAAAGGCCCUGCUUGCAGGGUGCUCGAGUGGCGAACGGGUGAGUAACACGUGGGUGAUCUGCCCCUUACUUUGGGAUAAGCCUGGGAAACUGGGUCUAAUACUGGAUAGGACCAUGCUGUAGGUGGUGUGGUGGAAAGAUUAGUUUCGGUAAGGGAUGAGCUCGCGGCCUAUCAGCUUGUUGGUGGGGUAAUGGCCUACCAAGGCGUCGACGGGUAGCCGGCCUGAGAGGGUGGACGGCCACAUUGGGACUGAGAUGCGGGCCAGACUCCUACGGGAGGCAGCAGAGGGGAAUAUUGCACAAUGGGCGCAAGCCUGAUGCAGCGACGCCGCGUGGGGGAUGACGGCCUUCGGGUUGUAAACUCCUUUCAGCCAUGACGAAGCCCUUGUGGUGACGGUAGUGGUAGAAGAAGCACCGGCUAACUACGUG